rnacentral:rRNA from 1 species
CUUAAAUGAAUUGACGGGACCCGCACAAGCAGCGGAGCGUGUGGUUUAAUUCGUUGCUACACGAAGAACCUUACCUGGGUUUGACAUAUAGGUUGUAGGGAACUGAAAAGGGACCGACCUUCGGGAGCCUAUACAGGUGUUGCAUGGCUGUCGUCAGCUCGUGUCGUGAGAUGUUCGGUUAAGUCCGCUAACGAGCGCAACCCUCGUCGUACGUUAUAUGUGUCAUACGAGACUGCCGGUAAAAGCCGGAGGAAGGUGAGGAUGAUGUCAAGUCAGCAUGACCUUUAUAUCCAGGGCUACACACACGCUACAAUGGUCUGUACAAUGGGUAGCCAAGCCGCGAGGCGGAGCCAAUCCUGAAAGCAGGCCUCAGUUCAGAUUGCAGUCUGCAACUCGACUGCAUGAAGUCGGAAUCGCUAGUAAUCGUGAAUCAGAAUGUCACGGUGAAUACGUUCCCGGGCCUU